rnacentral:rRNA from 1 species
UACGUAGGUGGCGAGCGUUGUCCGGAUUUACUGGGCGUAAAGGGAGCGUAGGCGGAUUUUUAAGUGAGAUGUGAAAUACCCGGGCUCAACUUGGGUGCUGCAUUUCAAACUGGAAGUCUAGAGUGCAGGAGAGGAGAGUGGAACUCCCGGUGUAGCGGUGAAAUGCGCAGAUAUCGGGAAGAACACCUGUGGCGAAGGCGGCUCUCUGGGACGGUACUGACGCUGAGACGCGAAAGCGUGGGGAGCAAACAGG